rnacentral:rRNA from 1 species
UACAGAGGUCUCAAGCGUUGUUCGGAUUCAUUGGGCGUAAAGGGUGCGUAGGUGGCGCCGUAAGUCAGGUGUGAAAUCUCGGGGUUUAACCCCGAAACUGCAUUUGAUACUGCGGUGCUCGAGUACUGGAGAGGAGAUUGGAAUUUACGGUGUAGCAGUGAAAUGCGUAGAUAUCGUAAGGAAGACCAGUGGCGAAGGCGGGUCUCUGGACAGUUCCUGACACUGAGACACGAAGGCCAGGGGAGCAAACGGG